AGAAUCAACGCUGGCGGCGUGCCUAACACAUGCAAGUCGAACGAGAAAGUGGAGCAAUCCACAAGUAAAGUGGCGCACGGGUGAGUAACACGUGACUAACCUACCCUUGAGUGGGGGAUAACCUAGAAGAAAUCUGGGCUAAUACCGCAUAAUACCUUCGGGUCAAAGGAGCAAUUCGCUUAAGGAGGGGGUCGCGGCCGAUUAGUUAGUUGGCGGGGUAAUGGCCCACCAAGACUAUGAUCGGUA
rnacentral:rRNA from 1 species